UAUUAGGUUGGUGCAAAGGUAUUUGUGGUUUUUGUCAUUAAAGUAAUGCAAAAGCCACAAAUACCUUUGCACCAACCUAAUA
rnacentral:pre_miRNA from 10 species